GAUGAACGCUAGCGGCAGGCCUAACACAUGCAAGUCGAGGGGUAGAAGGAGCUUGCUCCUUUUAGAUCGGCGCACGGGUGCGUAACGCGUAUGCAAUCUACCUUCUACAGGGGAAUAGCCAAGAGAAAUUUGGACGAAUGCCCCAUAGUAUAUAACCUUCGCAUGGUGGGUAUAUGAAAGUUCCAACGGUACAAGGUGAGCAUGCGUCCCAUUAGUUAGUUGGUAGGGUAACGGCUUACCAAGACGAUGAUGGGUAGGGGUCCUGAGAGGGAGAUCCCCCCCACUGGUCCUGAGCCACGGACCAGACUGCUACGGGAGGCAGCAGUGCGGAAUAUUGGUCAAUGGUCUCCAGACUGAACCAGCCAUGCCGCGUGCAGGACGACGGUCCUGUGGAUUGUAACCUGCUUUUCUACACGCAGAAUCCCUCCCCCGUGUGGGAGCUUGCCGGUCCUGUAGGAAUAAGGAUCGGCUACCUCCGUG
rnacentral:rRNA from 1 species